rnacentral:lncRNA from 1 species
GGCUGCACCUGUGGCAUAUGGAAGUUCCCAGACUAGGGGUCAAAUUGAAGCAGCAGCUGCUGGCCUAUACUGCAGCCACAGCAAUGCUGGAUCCAAGUCAUAUCACUGACCUACGCCAUAGCUUGUGACAAUGCUGGCCCCACUGAGUGGGGCCAGGGAUUGAACCUGCAUCUUCAUGGAUACUAGUUGAGUUCUUAACUCACUGAUCCACAAUGAGAACUCCAAUCAAUUUUUUAAAUGUCGAAGGAAGAAGAAAUUUUCAUGUUGUACCUCUGCUGAACCGCAAAAGUGAUAUUACGAAAUUAUGAAAAGUGAUUCUAAUUCAUUAUUAUUGUUAUUAUUAUUAUUAUUAUUAUUAUUACCACCCUUCCAGCUGUAACCUGCCAUAUGAUUCCUAGGUACUCAUAUAACUAUUUUCACACACAGUUGCAUAAUAUAUAUGCCUACCCCUUUGAGUUUACAUGACACCUUUGAGUUGUAUGCACAACUACAUAAAACAAAUUUUGCUCCAUCCAUCCCAUGCUUGUAGAAUAUCUUAUAUCAAAAAAACCCAAACCUAAAACUAUGCUCUCAUGAAUACAUAAUCAGAUUCAAAUAAUACAGAAUUAUAAUAUUUAAAAAAUAAUACAUAGAAACCAUAUGCAUUUCAAAUAAUUAGUUUCAAAAUAUUAAUAUCAGUUAUUUACCUAAGGCAUUCCUUUAUGAGGGGGUAGUCUAUUUUGUUUUAACUAAAUUAGGUCAGAAAUAAUUACACUCUUUAUAGUACUUCACAAAGUUUGUACAUUAUAGAAUUUACUUGGGUGAAAUUAAAUUUUUAAACAGUAAUUCCCCAAUAAACUCUCAGGAGACAGAAUGAGAUUAGUAUGAAAUGGCUGAAACUCCAACUCAUGAACUUAUUUACAAAAUAGGAAAAGACUCACAGACUUCAAAAACAAACUCAUGGUUACCAAAGGGGAAAGGUGGGGGGAGGGAUGGAUUGAGAGGUUGGCACUGGCACAUGCACACUGUGGUCUAUAGAAUGACUGGCCAAUGCGGACCUGCUGUAUAGCACAGGGAACUCUACUCAUUCUGUGAUAACCUAUAUGGGAAAAGAAUUUGCAAAAGAAUGGAUGUGUAUAUGUAUAAUCAAAUCACCUUGUAUGGAAGAAAUUAUUCCAACAUUAUAAAGCAACUAUACUUCAAUAAAUUUUAAAAAUGAAAAAAAUGAAUAUAAGUUAUAUAGUUACAUAGUAUAUAUAAACUAUAUUUACUAUAUAGUUAUUCUAUGUACCACCCAUUAGAAUUCCAUCUCCAAGAUCUCAGGGUCCUCGUCUAGUUCACUUUUGAUCAAUUCCAUGUAAAAACACAGCUACAGUCAGGGUUUUCUUGUCCUAGUCACAAGCAUGGAAAUUCAAGUCUAUUACUCACUGGUCUCCUUCUUAAAUAUCUAUUUCCUCCAACUCAAUGCAAGUUGAGUGUUAAGGUUAAUGUCUCUUAACCACCCCACUUCCGACUUCAGGUUUUUGGCUUUUUUGCUUAUCUUUUCCUUUUUUAAACAUCCUUUUAAAGUUCCAUCUUAUAAGAAUAAAUCUAUCCUGUAAAAUGCAAGAACAGUUUCUUUGGAAAAUAUAAAUUGUUUCCAUUCAUUUCUGCACAUUGAUACAUCUUGGCCUGACUUUAUCUCCCUUAUGAGAAUUUACUUUUAAAAAGCAAGAAGACAAUAGCAAAUUCCAACAUUUUGAAUUUUUCCUAACAUUUGCCUCAGUGUUCUAGAUUUGUUUGCUAGUGGAUAUGGUAAAACUCACAAGUGUUUACCAAUAUUUGUGGUUUCUUUUCUUUCCAGUUUAUUUAAAAUGAUUGCAUAUCCCACUUCCAGAAGUUAAACAUAGUCAUGUGAGUCUCCAUUUUUAAUGGAAAUUAAGUGGGUUUGAUGUAAGUAACCUAUGGGUAAAAGAGCCAUUGAAUAAUGUUCACUUCUCCUUUCUUACAUUGAGAUGGAAUUACCUUCAAAUUUAUGUAGUAUGAAACGUGCAUAAAAGCUGCUUAGAACUUUGCUAAUGUAAUAAAUGUUUAUUGUGUUACAAAAAAACUGAUGAUCAUAAUGUUGUCAUCAUUUUAUUUUGCUACAGCAAGUGUAAAAAUAUAACCAUAAAAACAAAAAAAGAACAAUGUGACAGAGAAAAAUUACCAUUUUCUCUUUACUUGAGCUCUUAAAAAAAUAAAUUUGAAUAACAUAUUAUAGAAAGACCAUGAUCCUGAAAAAAAGACACUCUUUCAUAAAAAAGGUAAGUUUGUAAAAAUGCAAUACUUGUUAGUUCACAUAUACCUACAUGGUAUGGUUCUCCACAUAUACAUGUAAGUACAUAAGUAUAUAUAUUUCUCCCCCCUUCUAUAUCAGAAGUCAUGAAAUAGCAUUUUUCCAUUGAUUGGCAUUAAGGGAUAAUUAGAGAAAUGAACAGAUUUCAAGAUUUCACGUCAAAUAAGCUGUGUUUUCCUCGGCAAUUUUCCAUUUUUAUCUUCAACUUCUUUAAUGGGGGAAUUAUAAUAAUUGCCUCAACAUAUUUUGAGAGUUAAGUAGAAAAUAAGAACAGAGGGCACCUAAUUAAAUUUAAUUUUCAAACAAGAAACAAAUCUUAAGUAUAAGUACUUUUUCCCAUCAUUUUUUAACUGAAAUUCAAAUUUAACUAGGCUUCCUGUAUUCUACCUGGUGAACCUGGAGUGCCAAUACAGAGUGCCAAUUCAUGCCAAAAGGUUUUUCACCAGGACAUGAAACAUGAGUAUUCAGUUAAGAAGUAGGAUAUCUGGGCGUGACUAUCUGGGUGCAAAUCUCAACGUCUUGUCCAAAUAACCAGAUCUCAGUAAGUUUCGGUUUGCUUAUAUGUCAAAUGCCAUAAUAUCUGUACCUUCUUCAAAUGGUGACUGUUAAGUUGGAUUAACAAAAUAUGCCUUAGGGAGUUCCCUUCAUGGCUCAGCGGUUAACAAACGCAACUAGGAUCCAUGAGGAUGUGGGUUUGAUCCCUGGCCUCACUCAGUGAGUUAAGGAUCUGGCAUUGCCGUGAACUAUGGUGCAGACUGCAGAUGUGGCUGAGAUCCUGGGUUGCUGUGGCUGUGGUGUAGGCUACAGCUCUGAUUUUAUCCCUAGCCUAGGAACUUCCACAUGCUGCAAGUGUGGCCCUAAAAAGCAAAAAAAAAAAAA